rnacentral:lncRNA from 1 species
ACGUAUACCGUCCAGGUGGUCUCAACAACACAUUACUCUCUCAAGGCUGCGUCCUUGGGAAACUUCUAGCAUGGAGAAGGCAAGUGGAACACACAUUCCAAGGACAAGGGAGAGGCACUUUGAAAAUGUAAUCCUACCACCUCUGGCCUCCGUGAUUUAAGAAGUCAGCCAUUGGUCUUAUUGAGGAUCCCUUGCACAUGACUGGAUGAUCUCAAUUGACCUGUCUUCAAAUUUGCUGAUUCUUUCUUCUGCCAGCUCAAAUUGGCUAUCAGCCUCUUUAAUGACAAUAGCUAAAAAACAAACUAAAGAUUAACAAUCCAGGGGCCGGCCCCAUGGCCGGGUGGUUAAGUUCGUGCUCUCUGCUUCGGUGGCCCAGGGUUUCGCCGGUUUGGAUCCUGGGCACAGACCUGGCACUGCUCAUCAGGCCACGCUGAGGCGGCAUCCCACAUGCCACAACUAGAAGGAUGCACA